GGCCGAAGACGAGGUUCGGACUCUGGUCGCCGAACUUGAAGAGGAGAAGGGCGCGCACUCUUUGACUAGGUCCGAAGUGCGCGCCGCGGAGGCCCGCCGGACGGAGGCCGAAUCGUCGCUCGCUAUACGCGAGCAGGAGGUGGGGGAGGCUCGAAUAAAGGUCCGAGAUCUCGAGAUCCGUCUACUUGACGUGCAAUCUCUGCUCGCGGAUCGCGAAAGAGAAAUAA
rnacentral:lncRNA from 1 species